rnacentral:rRNA from 1 species
AUUGAACGCUGGCGGCAGGCCUAACACAUGCAAGUCGAGCGAGCGGCGGACGGGUGAGUAAUGUAUGGGGACUGCCCGAUAGAGGGGGAUAACUACUGGAAACGGUGGCUAAUACCGCAUACUAUCGGAUAACCCAUAUGGGAUUAGCUAGUAGGUGGGGUAAAGGCUCACAUAGGCGAAGGUCUGUAGCUGGUCUGAGAGGAUGAUCAGCCACAGAGGGACUGAGACGCGGCCCAUACUCCUACGGAGGCGGCAGUGGGGAGUAUUGCACAAUGGGCGCACGCCUGAUGCAGCCAUGCCGCGUGUAUGAAGAGUGCCUUAGGGUUGUAAAGUACUUUCAGCGGGGAGGCGUUACCCGAAGAAGAAGCACCGGCUAACUCCAUGCCAGCAGCCGCGGUAAUAA